AAACUAAAGCUGAAAUCACACGAUUGGUCAAAUGUACCAAUUUUUUGUCAUUUAUAUGUACAGAUCGUGUGACAGCCAGAAAAUAUUUGACAUAAGGCAAAUUAACAAAAUUUUUGUGCAGAUAGACCGAUAAAAUACGGCUCUGUUGUACCAAUCAUGUGAACUGUUGUACAAAUCAAGUAAAUACAAAAAAUGGACAAAUGUACCGAUAAUUGUAUCUGCCACUGCAGGACCAAUCACAGUGGCCAAUCAAUUCAAAUAAAGCCAAAAUUAUGUUUAUUUUUAUUUUUAUUAUCCUAGGAAUACUUUACACCUGGCUGGAAUUUCAGUAUUUACUGUUUGGCAACUUGGCAGCACUGAUAUCUGCAAAAAUAAUUGAUGCACCACUGCUCUUUAUUCCAUUUGUCCGUUAUUAAACAAGUCACUACAUCUAUUGAAUAUGGAUACAGAUGAAGAUGAAAUCUUUGAUAAUUUGACUACCGCAAUAUGCGAAAAUAUAUCCAAUAUGUCUGCAGAACCAACACCAACGCCAGAUUAAAAGAGAAAGCGUUUUCAAGUUACAACGGCAUGGUCCUCGGAAGAUGUGUUUAAUUUAAUGGAAAUAACAGAAAAACAUCCUUGUCUGUGGGAAUAUUCUUCAUCAGACUAUAAAAACUGACAGAAGAGAGAGAACGCAUGGAGAGAAGUUGCAGCGAACUGUCAUAGCCAUAGCGUUGAUGAGUGCAAAGCCAAGUGGGCGAAUGUGAAAACAGCGUACAAUAAUACAAAAAACAAAUUACAGGCAAAGUCCGGUCAGAGUGCGUCAAGUUCACAACCUCAUUGGCAAUUUUGGACUGCAAUGCAGUUUUAUCAUAACCACGACAAAAAAAAAAUGACCUCAUCUGUUUCAAAUAUAAGCCCUGAUAGCGAAAGUUUACCAAACACGCAUUUUCAACCCAUCAACAUGCAAUCCAACGCAACAACAUCAUCGCCAGCUGAUGCAGCAACCAAUUCGCCAGAAGAUAUUUUAAAACGCGCAACAGAUUUGUUGUAUGCAGAAAAAGAGGACAAGUGGUAUUCCUUCGGCAUGUACAUAGCGUCGCAAAUGCGUGAAAUGAAUGCAAAAAAUGAGAAAGCAGCAAAAAAACUUGAAAUUAAUAUUAUGAAGUGCACUAUAGAUGCGCUUUCAGAAUUAAAUGACGAUUGAUAUUUCAUUGAAUUGUUUUUUCUUCUAUAUUAAUAAAGUUACAGACAUAUUUAAA